rnacentral:rRNA from 1 species
GAUGAACGCUGGCGGCGUGCUUAACACAUGCAAGUCGAGCGAAGCGCUUAAGUUUGAUUCUUCGGAUGAAGACUUUUGUGACUGAGCGGCGGACGGGUGAGUAACGCGUGGGUAACCUGCCUCAUACAGGGGGAUAACAGUUAGAAAUGACUGCUAAUACCGCAUAAGACCACAGGGUCGCAUGACCCGGUGGUAAAAACUCCGGUGGUAUGAGAUGGACCCGCGUCUGAUUAGGUAGUUGGUGGGGUAACGGCCCACCAAGCCGACGAUCAGUAGCCGACCUGAGAGGGUGACCGGCCACAUUGGGACUGAGACACGGCCCAA